UUCUAUUUAGCGCGUCGAGUCCUUUUUGUUUUUGCAAACGCGCACCUGCAGCCCUCCGUGGCGCUCCUGUGGCCCGGCCCAUCUAGGACUUUUUCUUUUGCGGGUACGGCCCAUAUAGGACUUACCCAACUCUUUUGACAACGUACGGAUCAUCUUUCAGCAACUAUUAUUUUGGAAUGUACGAUGUACGGCUCAUCUUUCAGCAACGUACGGC
rnacentral:lncRNA from 1 species